rnacentral:rRNA from 1 species
UACGUAGGGGGGCUAGCGUUGUUCGGAAUCACUGGGCGUAAAAGCGCACGUAGGCGGAUGUGUCAGUCAGGGGUGAAAUCCCGGGGCUCAACCUCGGAACUGCCUUUGAUACAGCACGUCUCGAGUCCGGAAGAGGUGGGUGGAAUUCCUAGUGUAGAGGUGAAAUUCGUAGAUAUUAGGAAGAACACCGGUGGCGAAGGCGGCCCACUGGUCCGGUACUGACGCUGAGGUGCGAAAGCGUGGGGAGGCAAACAGGAAUUGAGAUAC